CCUACGGGUGGCAGCAGUGGGGAAUAUUGGACAAUGGGGGGAACCCUGAUGCAGCAACGCCGCGUGGGUGAAGAAGGUCCUCGGUAUGUAAAGCCCUGUUAGUCGGGAAGAAAAUGCCGGUACCUGUCCACGAAUCCCCGGCCAACGACGUGCCAGCAGCCGCGGUACUACGCAGGGGGCCAGCGUUAUCCGGAUUUUCUGGGCGUUAAGGGAGCGUAGUCGGGAAGGCAGGUCUGGAGUGAAAGCCCGUGGCUCAACCACGGGACUGCUUUGGAAACUGUGUGGCUGGAGUGCGGGAGGGGUAAGCGGAAUUGCUAGUGUAGCGGUGAAAUGCGUAGAUAUUAGGAGGAACACCGGUGGCGAAGGCGGCUUACUGGACUGUAACUGACGUUGAGGCUCGAAGGCGUGGGGAGCAAACAGGAUUAGAUACCCCGGUAGUC
rnacentral:rRNA from 1 species